rnacentral:rRNA from 1 species
UACGGAGGGAGCUAGCGUUGUUCGGAAUUACUGGGCGUAAAGCGCACGUAGGCGGCUUUGUAAGUUAGAGGUGAAAGCCCGGAGCUCAACUCCGGAAUUGCCUUUAAGACUGCAUCGCUUGAAUCCGGGAGAGGUGAGUGGAAUUCCGAGUGUAGAGGUGAAAUUCGUAGAUAUUCGGAGGAACACCAGAAGCGAAGGCGGCUCACUGGCCCGAUACUGACGCUGAGGCGCGAAAGCGUGGGGAGCAAACAGG